rnacentral:rRNA from 1 species
UACAGAGGUCUCAAGCGUUGUCCGGAUUCAUUGGGCGUAAAGAGCACGCAGGCGGUUUGGCAAGUUCGGGAUGUGAAAUCCCGAAGCUCAACUUCGGGCGGUGCAUCCGAAACUGCCCGACUAGAGGUAGGUAGGGGAGAUCGGAAUUCCUGGUGUAGCGGUGAAAUGCGCAGAUAUCAGGAGGAACACCGGUGGCGAAGGCGGAUCUCUGGGCCUUACCUGACGCUCAGGUGCGAAAGCUAGGGGAGCGAACAGG